rnacentral:rRNA from 1 species
CCUACGGGAGGCAGCAGUGGGGAAUAUUGGGCAAUGGGCGCAAGCCUGACCCAGCAACGCCGCGUGAAGGAAGAAGGCUUUCGGGUUGUAAACUUCUUUUAAGGGGGAAGAGCAGAAGACGGUACCCCUUGAAUAAGCCACGGCUAACUACGUGCCAGCAGCCGCGGUAAUACGUAGGUGGCAAGCGUUGUCCGGAUUUACUGGGUGUAAAGGGCGUGCAGCCGGAGAGACAAGUCAGAUGUGAAAUCCACGGGCUCAACCCGUGAACUGCGUUUGAAACUGUUUCCCUUGAGUGUCGGAGAGGUAAUCAGAAUUCCUUGUGUAGCGGUGAAAUGCGUAGAUAUAAGGAAGAACACCAGUGGCGAAGGCGGAUUACUGGACGAUAACUGACGGUGAGGCGCGAAAGCGUGGGGAGCAAACAGGAUUAGAUACCCUUGUAGUC